UACGGAGGGUGCAAGCGUUGUCCGGAAUCACUGGGCGUAAAGGGCGCGUAGGCGGCUCGGUAAGUAGGGGGUGAAAUCCUGCGGCUCAACCGCAGGGCUGCCUUCUAAACUGUCGAGCUCGAGCACGGUAGAGGCAGAUGGAAUUCCCGGUGUAGCGGUGGAAUGCGUAGAGAUCGGGAAGAACAUCAGUGGCGAAGGCGGUCUGCUGGGCCGUUGCUGACGCUGAGGCGCGACAGCGGGGGGAGCAAACAGG
rnacentral:rRNA from 1 species